rnacentral:rRNA from 1 species
CGAAGGGUGCAAGCGUUAAUCGGAAUUACUGGGCGUAAAGCGCGCGUAGGUGGUUUGGUAAGAUGGAUGUGAAAUCCCCGGGCUCAACCUGGGAACUGCAUCCAUAACUGCCUGACUAGAGUACGGUAGAGGGUGGUGGAAUUUCCUGUGUAGCGGUGAAAUGCGUAGAUAUAGGAAGGAACACCAGUGGCGAAGGCGACCACCUGGACUGAUACUGACACUGAGGUGCGAAAGCGUGGGGGAGCAAAACAGGAUU